rnacentral:rRNA from 1 species
UACGGAGGGGACUAGCGUUGUUCGGAAUUACUGGGCGUAAAGCGCGCGUAGGCGGAUUUGUAAGUCAGGGGUGAAAUCCCGGGGCUCAACCUCGGAACUGCCUUUGAUACUGCAAAUCUCGAGUCCGGAAGAGGUGAGUGGAAUUCCUAGUGUAGAGGUGAAAUUCGUAGAUAUUAGGAAGAACACCAGUGGCGAAGGCGGCUCACUGGUCCGGUACUGACGCUGAGGUGCGAAAGCGUGGGAGCAAACAGG